GGUCCAGACUCCUACGGGAGGCAGCAGUGAGGAAUAUUGGUCAAUGGACGGAAGUCUGAACCAGCCAUGCCGCGUGCAGGAUGACGGCUCUAUGAGUUGUAAACUGCUUUUGUAUUAGGGUAAACACCCCUACGUGUAGGGGCUUGAAAGUAUAAUACGAAUAAGGAUCGGCUAACUCCGUGCCAGCAGCCGCGGUAAUACGGAAGGUCCGGGCGUUAUCCGGAUUUAUUGGGUUUAAAGGGAGCGUAGGCCGGCUUUUAAGUCAGCUGUGAAAGUCCGCGGCUCAACCGUGGAAUUGCAGUUGAAACUGGAGGCCUUGAGUGCACACAGGGAUGCCGGAAUUCAUGGUGUAGCGGUGAAAUGCUUAGAUAUCAUGAAGAACUCCGAUCGCGAAGGCAAGUGUCCGGGGUGCAACUGACGCUGAGGCUCGAAAGUGCGGUUAUCAAACAGGAUUAGAUACCCUUGUAA
rnacentral:rRNA from 1 species